rnacentral:rRNA from 1 species
CGCUGGCGGCGUGCCUAACACAUGCAAGUCGAACGGAGUCGGCCCGCAAGGGACUGACUUAGUGGCGAACGGGUGAGUAACGCGUGAGCAACCUGCCUUUCAGUGGGGGACAACAGUUGGAAACGACUGCUAAUACCGCAUAACAUAUAGAUGUCGCAUGGCAUUUAUAUCAAAGAUUUAUCGCUGAAAGAUGGUCUCGCGUCUGAUUAGCUAGUUGGCGGGGUAACGGCCCACCAAGGCGACGAUCAGUAGCCGGUCUGAGAGGUUGAACGGCCACAUUGGGACUGAGACACGGCCCAGACUCCUACGGGAGGCAGCAGUGGGGAAUAUUGCACAAUGGGCGCAAGCCUGAUGCAGCAACGCCGCGUGGAGGAAGACGGUUUCGGAUUGUAAACUCCUGUUCUUAGUGAAGAAUAAUGACGGUAGCUAAGGAGCAAGCCACGGCUAACUACGUG